rnacentral:rRNA from 1 species
GGGGAAUUAGGGUUCGAUUCCGGAGAGGGAGCCUGAGAAACGGCUACCACWUCCAAGGAWAGGCAGCAGGCGCGCAAAUUACCCAAUCCCGACACGGGGAGGUAGUGACAAUAAAUAACAAUACGGGGCUCWUUYGGGUCUCGUAAUUGGAAUGAGUACAAUUUAAAUCCCUUAACGAGGAACAAUUGGAGGGCAAGUCUGGUGCCAGCAGCCGCGGUAAUUCCAGCUCCAAUAGCGUAUAUUAAAGUUGUUGCAGUUAAAAAGCUCGUAGUUGAAUUUCGGGAUUGACGUGAUGGUCGUGCCUUAAGGGGUAUGAACUGUCGCWGUUGAUUUCUCACCUUCUGGAGAAGCAUGAUGUCCUUAAUUGGGUGUCAUGUGGAACCAGGACCUUUACCUUGAAAAAAUUAGAGUGUUUAAAGCAGGCAUUUUUGCUCUGAAUACAUUAGCAUGGAAUAAUAGAAUAGGACGGCAUGGUUCUAUUUUGUUGGUUUCUAGGAUCACCGUAAUGAUUAAUAGGGAUAGUUGGGGGCAUUAGUAUUCAAUUGUCAGAGGUGAAAUUCUUGGAUUUAUUGAAGACUAACUACUGCGAAAGCAUUUGCCAAGGAUGUUUUCAUUAAUCAAGAACGAAAGUUAGGGGAUCGAAGACGAUCAGAUACCGUCGUAGUCUUAACCAUAAACUAUGCCGACUA